UAAUAAGUGUUUUAUGGCACUUUUUAAAUCCAUAUCCACCUUGUGUGCAGUGUCAGUCGAUCGUUCUUCAUGGGAGAUCGACACAAAACAUCAACCUUUAUCUUUAACUCUUUGCUCUGAAAAAUAUUAUGAAUAAACAAUUCAAAAUA
rnacentral:misc_RNA from 1 species